GACGAACCGUGCGAACGUUGUUCGGAAUCACUGGGCUUAAAGGGUGCGUAGGCGGCGCAGUAAGUUGGGUGUGAAAUCCCUCGGCUUAACCGAGGAAUUGCGCCCAAAACUACUGUGCUCGAGGGAGAUAGAGGUGAGCGGAACUUAGGGUGGAGCGGUGAAAUGCGUUGAUAUCCUAAGGAACACCGGUGGCGAAAGCGGCUCACUGGAUCUCUUCUGAGGCUGAGGCACGAAAGCUAGGGUAGCAAACGGG
rnacentral:rRNA from 1 species